AGAGUUUGAUCCUGGCUCAGGAUAAACGCUGGCGGCAGGCUUUACACAUGCAAGUCGAGCGAUGAUUAAUUUGUAGCAAUACAAGUUAUGAUUAGCGGCGAACGGGUGAGUAACGCGUAAGAACUUCCUCUAAGUGGAACAUAGCUAGUCGAAAGAUUAGGUAAUUUUCCAUGUGACCGUAAGGUUAAAGCAGUAAUGCGCUUAGAGCGAGGCUUGCGUCCCAUCAGCUAGUUGGUAAGGUAAAAGCUUACCAAGGCUAAGACGGGUAGCUGGUCUGAGAGGACGAUCAGCCACACUGGAACUGAGACACGGUCCAGACACCUACGGGUGGCAGCAGUGGGGAAUUUUCGGCAAUGGGGGCAACCCUGACCGAGCCAUGCCGCGUGCAGGAUGACAGCCUAAGGGUUGUAAACUGCUUUUAUUGACUACUAAUUUUGAAGAGUCAUGAAUAAGAGUAUGGCA
rnacentral:rRNA from 1 species